CACACCGCCCGUCACACCAUGGGAGUUUGUUGCACCAGAAGCAGGUAGCUUAACCUCGGAGGGGCGCUUGCCACGGUGUGGCCGAUGACUGGGGUG
rnacentral:rRNA from 1 species